CCUACGGGUGGCAGCAGUGAGGAAUAUUGGUCAAUGGACGAGAGUCUGAACCAGCCAAGUAGCGUGAAGGAUGACUGCCCUAUGGGUUGUAAACUUCUUUUAUAUGGGAAUAAAAUGUUCCACGUGUGGGUUUUUGUAUGUACCAUAUGAAUAAGGAUCGGCUAACUCCGUGCCAGCAGCCGCGGUAAUACGGAGGAUCCGAGCGUUAUCCGGAUUUAUUGGGUUUAAGGGGAGCGUAGGUUGAUUGUUAAGUCAGUUGUGAAAGUUUGCGGCUCAACCGUAAAAUUGCAGUUGAAACUGGAAGACUUGAGUACAGUAGAGGUAGGCGGAAUUCGUGGUGUAGCGGUGAAAUGCAUAGAUAUCACGAAGAACUCCGAUUGCGAAGGCAGCUCACUGGACUGCAACUGACACUGAGGCACGAAAGUGUGGGUAUCAAACAGGAUUAGAUACCCUUGUAGUC
rnacentral:rRNA from 1 species